rfam:Roseofilum reptotaenium AO1-A Rreptotaenium_AO1_contig_66_len_60480_cov_411.119, whole genome shotgun sequence.
GGGCCCUUAGUUCAGUCGGAUAGAACAACUGAUUUCUAAUCAGUCGGUCGGGGGUUCGAGUCCCUCAGGGCCCG